ACUACUACACGAUCAGAAGAAACUGAUUCGACAGGAAGCACCGGCGGUGAUGGUGAUGAUCCAAAAAAACCAAUAAAUAACCUCAAUCCUAAAACCACCUGCAGGAACCUGGUUGAGACAACCGAAGAAGCGGAAGAUAAGAACACCAAACCCAUAAUUCAAAAGCAUAAAAAAAUUACAAAAAAUGUCCAAGAUGAAGAUUCUGAAGAAAUCGCACAACACACAGGAAAAACUCAUUUUGUUUCACGAUCAGUGAUUCAUACUCCACGAAUUGCCGGAGAAAUUAGGAUAAUUGUUGAAAAAACGGGUAUACUAUUUGACGAAUUAAUUAAAGACGGAGCUAGUACAUUCAAAGAUGCUCAUAUAAAAGGCACUCCAUAUAAUCCGGAUUUACAUAGAGCUCACGUGAUACGAAUUAUUAUAAUUUGGCAGAAAUUAAAAGAAUUAAAUUUCGAGCUCUACAGAAUACUAAGCACACACGCAGGACACACUCAAAGGGUUGACAAAAUGUUUAAUCAAUGGGGCAAGAGCGGUGGAAAUUUCGAUUUGCGCCAAUAUGGUUGGAUAAAGUUAUUGUUUUCAGUAAAUUUUUCUGCUGGGCCAACAGCUGAAAAUCUAGCUAUUUUUGAAACAUAUAGGCUACAAGUUAUAGAAUUUUAUGAUAAGGAGAUUGGCGAUGAGAAAAAUUGUGAAGAAGCUGUAGAACAAUUAGGAAAGGCAAAAGAAACAAUGGAAAACACAACAAGUUUAAAAUUGUUUGAAAAGGGUUUGGAGGGUUACAAACUUCAACAUAAAUAUGAGAAUCAAAAAAUAAGCUAUGAAACAGAUCAAUUAUAUGAACCAGAAGCAUCAGAUGAAUUUGAAGAAUUGUAUGAAACGAAAGAGUCAGAUGAAUCCGAAGAAUCAGAAGAAUCGUUAAAAUCAAAAGAAUCAGAUGAAUCAGAAGAAUCAUGUGAAACAGAAGAAUCAGAUUAUUUAUUGAAUUAAAUUAUAUACUGAUAUUGUUUAUAAUAAUCAAACGGUAGAUUUUAUUGAUCAUUAGAAUUCGACAGAUAGAGGGCGCAGUAACAGGCGAAAUCGAUCGGGCCGUGGAUCGGUCAUCUAUAUCUCUAUAAUAAAACUCUACUAAAGCCUGAUCAGCGUUACUUUACAGCGGUAGCUUGGAUUCUUUUUGAUGAGUUAACAUCCAAACAAUGGCAAUCGCUUUGGCUACGGGAAAGACAACGACGACUUUGUGUCGAGUGUUUUGAGAAACAAGGAAACAAAAAAAUCAAAUCACAGCUAUAAUUCAAUAGUCAAACGCGUUUUCGUUGUUUUUUUGGGAAUAAGUGAUCUAAGGAACUGUCCAGGAAGCCUCAAAGUUAGAAGAUAGGUGUCCUACUUUAGGUGGACAUAUCAAAAUGUAACGGCAAAAUUUUUACCGACCUGUAGGAUAACCACUGGACUAAAUAAACCAUAGGAUGACCACCGGAUUCAAUGACUGAUAUAGAGUCAAGUACUAUUUUGGUACCAAAAUAAACAGGGAGAAGUAUCAGGGCUCGGAAUAGGAUCUGGAUCUGUUCAAUGACCCAUAUGGGAUAUGUUACAGGAUAUGUCGGAAUCAGACCCAGGAUCGGUCAGGGUUCGGAAUUCUGAGGGUUGGAAAUUUAAAGUCAUCUAUCUUGCAUAACCCUGUAACCGGGCCUAAUUAACUAGUAAUACCAAAAUGUAAUUGAUGUAAUUGAAGAAGCACUGAGGGGAUAGGGCAUCGACCGUUGCGUCGAAUGGGAACAAGAGAAAGGUGAAUUAAGGAAUAACGACAGAAGUAGUGCCCUUUUCCUCGCCCUUUAAAGUCCCGGAUACAGGAGUGUUUUUUAAAGUUUCAUGUCAUUAUGAUGUCAUUAUGUCAUUAUGAAUCUGUUAAUUUUUUAGUUAACAACCAAAAGCAAACUCGCAUCUUGUCUUUACAUCAGUCCAAGUGUUCCAAGUCCUUAUUAUUGGAUCAGAUUCAGUGACUUUCGUGCAUCUGGCUCGAUUUAACUUUAAAUCUAGAAUUUAAAAUUAAGUUGCUUUAAUGUUGACCAAAUACUGUUUAUAUAGCAAUGAAAUAACUUUAUAUGUGGUGUGGGGAAGCACAAUGUACAAUGAAAAAUUUAUGUUUAUUGCAUAAGGAUAUUAAUACGUAAAGGAACAUAGUGAAGAAUACCAUUUCCUUCUAUUAAAUCAUACACUUAUUUUAUUCACAACGACAAUGAA